ensembl:lncRNA
UGUUAUUUAGCAGUUUAGAUAGCUGUAAUGCUUCGCUAAAUAGCAGAACUAUCAGUUUCAAUUCCAGUUGCGCAAAUAGGGAACGUUGUAACACUGCAUUACAAUAUGCACUAUUAUUAUUAGAACUAUGAUAUUCUAUGACAUUAGAACUGUAAUUUACACUAAUUAGUUUCAUGAAUUUUAAUAAGAAACCAUGAGAAAACAAAUAUUGAUUUUAUUUUGGGUGAUUAAAGACUGAGAGUCAAUGUUCAGAAACUAUUAAUUGAAGAAACGUAAAUCAUCUAUUUGUCUCUUGUUCUGUGAGGGAGGGGAGCGUUGUGUCCAUCUCGGUUGAUUUUAUUUUAAUGUGUGAAUGUAUUUUUUUAUUAUUUUAUUUGCCAACAUUGUUUUGAAGUAGGCUAUGACUUAUAGCCAUGAUUUCUCAUAUUUAUUUAUUUAUUUAUUCUAAACAAAACGAGUUAUGAAGUGUGUUUUGAGUAAAUGUUAUUAAAUCAAUAUAUUAACAAAACUCUGACUUACCAGUUUAUUUUAAUUCCCUCACACUCACCGAAUUGUUUAAUUUUUCAACAGAUGUCUACAAAAUAAUCAGUUCACAUAGAGACCCGUGGUCUUCUUUAGCAUUCACUCAUUUCAUCACAAGAACAAAGGAAACUAAGCCACAAUGUGCAUGUUUUCUAUGUUACUAAUUUCAAGUAUAGAAUAAAUGACUGCACGGGUGCUCAAGCCCCCUUUGAUGUUUAUGUUUGCAUGUGCCUGAUUGUACACUCUUUCCUAGUUUAGUUCACAUAGUUUAUGUUUUUUUUUUCUAAACCCUUGAUUCUGUAAUAUUGCUUUUACAGUUCACAAGGAAAGAUCAUGUUUAUGGAAACUUUUUACUGGGCUGUGUCUCCUGGUAGUCUUGUGUUUUCUGGAAUCAGUUUAGAUGCCUACUCCAGGUUACAGCAGGCUGUCUACUGGGCAGAACCUGACAGAUCAAUCACGAGUGUGUCCAUGAGUACUAG